UACGUAGGGGGCAAGCGUUGUCCGGAAUCAUUGGGCGUAAAGAGCGUGUAGGCGGCCCGGUAAGUCCGCUGUGAAAGUCCAGGGCUCAACCCUGGAAUGCCGGUGGAAACUGUCGGGCUAGAGUCCGGAAGAGGCGAGUGGAAUUCCUGGUGUAGCGGUGAAAUGCGCAGAUAUCAGGAGGAACACCAAUGGCGGAGGCAGCUCGCUGGGACGGUACUGACGCUGAGACGCGAAAGCGUGGGGAGCAAACAGG
rnacentral:rRNA from 1 species